rnacentral:rRNA from 1 species
GACGAACGCUGGCGGCGUGCUUAACACAUGCAAGUCGAACGGACAGACAGAGAGCUUGCUCUCUUGAAGUUAGUGGCGAACGGGUGAGUAACGCGUAAUCAACCUGCCCUUCAGAGGGGGAUAACAACGGGAAACCGUUGCUAAUACCGCGUACGAUUCAUGAACGGCAUCGUUUAUGAAUGAAAGGUGGCCUCUAUGUAUAAGCUAUCGCUGAAGGAGGGGAUUGCGUCUGAUUAGCUAGUUGGAGGGGUAACGGCUCACCAAGGCAAUGAGCAGUGGCCGGCCGGAGAGGAUGAACGGCCACAUUGGGACUGAGACACGGCCCAAACUCCUACGGGAGGCAGCAGUGGGGAAUCUUCCGCAAUGGACGAAAGUCUGACGGAGCAACGCCGCGUGAGUGAUGAAGGUCUUCGGAUUGUAAAGCUCUGUUAAUCGGGACGAAAGAGUUCUGCGUGAAUAAUGCAGAAAAGCGACGGUACCGGAAUAGAAAGCCACGGCUAACUACGUGCCAGCAGCCGCAGUAA